rnacentral:misc_RNA from 1 species
UGGAAGUAAAAGUCGUAACAAGGUCUCCGUUGGUGAACCAGCGGAGGGAUCAUUACAGAGUUACUACUCCAAAACCCAUUGUGAACCUUACCUAUGUUCUGUUGCCUCGGCGGCGUGGUCAGCGCCCCCUCUGAAAAGAGGACGAUGCCCUCCCGCCGGCAGCACCAAACUCUUGAAUUUUACAGCGGAUUACAGUUCUGAUUUGAAAAGAAAAAACAAGUUAAAACUUUCAACAACGGAUCUCUUGGUUCUGGCAUCGAUGAAGAACGCAGCGAAAUGCGAUAAGUAAUGUGAAUUGCAGAAUUCAGUGAAUCAUCGAAUCUUUGAACGCACAUUGCGCCCGGCAGUAAUCUGCCGGGCAUGCCUGUCCGAGCGUCAUUUCAACCCUCGAACCUCCGUUUCCUCAGGGAAGCUCAGGGUCGGUGUUGGGGCGCUACGGCGAGUCUUCGCGACCCUCCGUAGGCCCUGAAAUACAGUGGCGGUCCCGCCGCGGUUGCCUUCUGCGUAGUAAGUCUCUUUUGCAAGCUCGCAUUGGGUCCCGGCGGAGGCCUGCCGUCAAACCACCUAUAACUCCAGAUGGUUUGACCUCGGAUCAGGUAGGGUUACCCGCUGAACUUAAGCAUAUCAAUAAGCGGAGGA